rnacentral:rRNA from 2 species
ACAAAGGGCAGCAAACUCGCGAGAGCUAGCAAAUCCCAUAAACCGUGGCUCAGUUCAGAUCGUAGGCUGCAACUCGCCUACGUGAAGUAGGAAUCGCUAGUAAUCGCAGGUCAGCAUACUGCGGUGAAUACGUUCCCGGGCCUUGUACACACCGCCCGUCACACCAUGGAAGUUGGCCAUGCCCGAAGUCGUUACUCCAACCCUUGUGGAGGAGGACGCCGAAGGUGGGGCUAAUGACUGGGGUGAAGUCGUAACAAGGUAGCCGUACCGGAAGGUGCGGCUGGAUCACCUCCUAAC